GAUGUGACACUUUAAAGUUAUUGAAUGCUACAUUUCCAGAGGAAUACUUUUUCUUCUGCAUUCUGCUGCCUUAGAAAAUAAAUGGACAUUCUAAGACAGAAUAAAUGGAGUGUCAGGCUACCAGGAAGAUAGGUGUGUUUUCCAGAUGGAAGGCUACACAGAUCACUCCCACCCUGUCUCCGCACAGACCAGAACUGUCUCUUUACAGAAGGUUGCCCGAAAAAGGUUUACUUUCCUUACACAGCAGCUCUUUGCUUGGGAAAUGUGAGAUAUUCUUUAGAAUGUUUAUUUAAUAUUGUCAAGUUCUUUUAAAAGAUCUAACUAUUGUCACUGUAACUACAGCAUUAAAUGUUUUAAUUUAAUUCUAAAUUGUUUGCAAAUUUGUCCACAUGACUAAAUUUAAUCAAAUUUAACUAAAUCUGAUGUUUAAUUAAAACAGAUCAAUUACAGAAAACCCCUCUAUCAGAAACAGGUAAUAGGACAAUUACAGCACAGAACAGCACAACAUAUUAAUUUGUUAGCUUUGUUGAUAGAAUGGAUCAAUUAUCCUGUAGAAUAACAUAGGGUAGAAUCUCAAGAGUAGAAACAAUUUCUAGCAGUGUACAUUUGCCACUACAAUGAAAAUGAUGUUUCUCAUUCUCAUUGGAAAAGAAUGUUAGAAAAUACAGCUAGAAAACCAUGCUUAAUAAUUUGUAAAUUGAUUGCUGUCCAUAACAGAAUAUAAGGGUUGCUAAGGGAUGUAGAAUCUUAGAGGUUGUACCUCUAUUAAUUGAAAAAUGUUUGUCAUGCCUUUAAAAAUGAAUUAGUUUAGCCUAUCACUGUUACUGUAACACUUCCUACUGAUAGAACAAUCUUUUUUCAAAUGUUAAAUGAUGCUGAUACCAAGGUAAAUAAAGAUAAAAAAGGCAAUUUAUUUGGAUUCUGUUUAUCUUUGGCUGUAACCUGUGCAACUGCUCACUUGGCUCAACUCUCUUGAGCAUUUGACAGGCAUUGGGGAAUCAAAUUUGGUAUGGCCUGACUGCAGCCUUCAGAAAAGACUCAUACCACCUGUGAAUAAUGUUUGUAGCAUAAAUGCUAUGUGCUUUUCCGUUGCAGAGGAUAUGCGUGCAGUACAGAAACACAAGCUCAUGUCUUCAGCAAUGAACAUUUUGAUAUGUUGCAUGAUCACAUCACUAUUCAUGCCAGCCCCUGUAAGAAGAAACAAAAGCAAAACACAAAUCAGAUGACCUAGAUAUAGAAACAUAACUGUACUAG